CCUACGGGAGGCAGCAGUGAGGAAUAUUGGUCAAUGGGAGAGAUCCUGAACCAGCCAAGCCGCGUGAGGGAAGACGGCCCUAUGGGUUGUAAACCUCUUUUGUCGGAGAACAAAACCCGGGACGAGUCCCGGACUGCGUGUAUCCGAAGAAAAAGCAUCGGCUAACUCCGUGCCAGCAGCCGCGGUAAUACGGAGGAUGCGAGCGUUAUCCGGAUUUAUUGGGUUUACAGGGUGCGUAGGCGGUCUGUUAAGUCAGCGGGAAAAUUGCGGGGCUCAACCCCGUCGCGCCGUUGAAACUGGCAGACUUGAGUUGGCGAGAAGUACGCGGAAUGCGCGGUGGAGCGGUGAAAUGCAUAGAGAUCGCGCAGAACUCCGAUUGCGAAGGCAGCGUACCGGCGCCAGACUGACGCUGAGGCACGAAAGCGUGGGGAUCGAACAGGAUUAGAUACCCCGGUAGUC
rnacentral:rRNA from 1 species